ACGUGGGAAUCUGCCCUUCUCUGCGGGACAACAGUUGGAAACGACUGCUAAUACCGCAUACGCCCUUCGGGGAAAGGUCCGCCGGAGAAGGAGGAGCCCGCGUCUGAUUAGCUUGUUGGUGGGGUAAUGGCCUACCAAGGCGACGAUCAGUAGCUGGUCUGAGAGGAUGAUCAGCCACACUGGGACUGAGACACGGCCCAGACUCCUACGGGAGGCAGCAGUGGGGAAUAUUGGACAAUGGAGGAAACUCUGAUCCAGCAAUGCCGCGUGUGUGAUGAAGGCCCUAGGGUUGUAAAGCAC
rnacentral:rRNA from 1 species